AGGGUUCCCCAAAGCUCGCUCGGUGGACGUCACUUGCUCAACAGUCAACAUCAUCCAUAUCUCUCAUUCCACAGACACUGGCUGCCCAGCAAGGGCCUGGCGGCAGGAGGUAGGAGAAGACACAGAUUUCAGCUCCACGUCUGGCUUCCCUCAGGGUCUCUCCCGGGGCUCUCUCAACUCAGAUGGCAGUGCCAGACCCCAGGCCACGCCUUGUCUGCAGGCCUUGCCUGGACUGUGGUAACAGCCAGAAUGCAACAAUUUCUCAAUGUCAGCCUCCGUGGCACGGAGACCCACAGGCACCCUCAUCUGCCGGCACGCACGGACGCAGUAAGUCCAGAGUGCCAAGUGGGAAAUCAAACUGCUUUUCCUGCCCAGGAAACAGAAACAACCACUGCAGAGCGAUCGCCGAUGGCCACGGCUGGCCUCGAGGAGCCAGUGUCCUAUUAGGGUGUCUGGUUUGCCUCCGAUUAUCCAGCAAAUAAACCAAUUUAGGAGCCCGCCAGGGUCUUUCUAGCCACCUCUCCAGGGCCCUGGCUGGGCCGCUCCUGUCCUCAUUUCCAUACAGCCAGUAUUCUCAGUGAGAUGAAGAAAUGUCAUUAUUUACCAAGAAAGCAAGGUCUGAAAAUGGCAAUUACUUGGCAGGUCAGCAGAAGGCCCCGGGGUCCUGCUCUCUGCAGGAUUCAGCCGGCAGCUCGGAGCUGGAAGACGCAGCCAGUGCCUACCCCAGGUUUCCACCCUCCGUGGACUCACAUCUCGUUGGUUUACAAAACCGAGCAUGUAUUCCCCCCACGAUACAUAUUCAUGCCUUAAAAUGUAAGUCUAUUGCAUACGUUAUAAAGCACACGCUGAAAAGUGACACGUAAAAUGCAGAUGUAAACGUGA